UAAGGAAUAUUGGUCAAUGGACGCAAGUCUGAACCAGCCAUGCCGCGUGAAGGAUGAAGGUCCUCUGGAUUGUAAACUUCUUUUAUCUGGGACGAAAACGGGAUUUUUAUCUCAAUUUACGGUACCAGAGGAAUAAGCACCGGCUAACUCCGUGCCAGCAGCCGCGGUAAUACGGAGGGUGCGAGCGUUAUCCGGAUUUACUGGGUUUAAAGGGUGCGUAGGUGGGGUUAUAAGUCAGUGGUGAAAUCUCCGAGCUUAACGUGGAAACUGCCGUUGAUACUAUAGGUCUUGAAUUAUCUGGAGGUAAGCGGAAUAUGUCAUGUAGCGGUGAAAUGCUUAGAUAUGACAUAGAACACCAAUUGCGAAGGCAGCUUACUACAUAUAAAUUGACGCUGAGGCACGAAAGCGUGGGGAUCAAACA
rnacentral:rRNA from 1 species